rnacentral:lncRNA from 1 species
CUGGUGCAGAAGAUCAAACGCACAUAGAAAAAGAAGGAAAAGAAGACUGAGAAAUGCAUAGAGAUAUGAAAAGCUGACCGUGAGUGAGUCUCAGUCAGUAAGUUACUCAGCUUUUGAUUGAACAGUCUCAGACUCCCCAGGGCUCCUAAGGAGGGAGGGGGCCCUGUCAGCCAUGAUUGCAGCUCGCAGUAGUUCGGUAGGUCGAGGGGGCCCUGAAGAGCACUCCAGGCACCGCAGACAGUCAGCUGCUUCUCUGACAGGGCACCGUGGGCACCGCAACUCUCAAGAGAGCACUCGUGAUAGUCAUGCUCAGCUCCGGCAGGGGGCGCUGCUGCGGGCGAGGAAAGCGUUUCUUAUCAGGGAGAUGGAGACCAACUGGUACUUGAAGCUGUGUGGCCGGGCCAGAGAAGAUAGUGUUGCUUAUGAGACUGGCAUGCCUUACCGGAAUUCAAUUCAUGAUACAGCACUGGCUGGUUUGUUAGAUCCCCUGAAUGAAUGCCAUAAUUGGGAUUGUUCUUCAGAAGGCUGUCCUUGAGCUGAUUUAGCUUUUUAUGUCUUUAACAAAAUGAAGCAGUCAAAAAAGGUUAAUGGAAGGAUUUAAAAUUGGAGCCCCGCAGCUGUACGAUGCGAGAAUGCUGGGCGCCUUUUAUUCUAUUUCUCUUAAAGCUGAAAAUGUAUCUGAUGAAAUAGGUUGUGAGAAAGACCAAGACAGACAGACAGAGAAGCA